rnacentral:rRNA from 1 species
UACGUAGGGUGCAAGCGUUAUCCGGAAUUAUUGGGCGUAAAGAGCUCGUAGGCGGUUUGUCGCGUCUGCUGUGAAAAACUGGAGGCUCAACCUCCAGCCUGCAGUGGGUACGGGCAGACUAGAGUGCGGUAGGGGGAGAUUGGAAUUCCUGGUGUAGCGGUGGAAUGCGCAGAUAUCAGGAGGAACACCGAUGGCGAAGGCA